CGAAAAGGAAAUCUCGCGAGAAGUGGGUCUUGCCCCGUGGGCGACGGCCACGCAGACCGUUAUUCAGCCGUUAAACUGCUGUUGCCCCGCCCCUGCCUCCUGGCCGCUGGCGUGGAGCGAUUUCCCACCUUUUCUGAGGUUCCAGAAGCUUUUGUUGGCUCUUUCUGCUGCCCUAAUAGAUGGAAGGUGCCCCGGUUUCUCGUUGGUCUUUUAAAGCUUCCAUGGACCCCUGAUCACUACUUGAGGAGAAUUUUCCUGUGGAUUCAACUGACUAGCUAUUGUGAUGUAAGCAGGUAAAAAAAAAAAACAAAAACCAUUUAUCAUGUUAUGCCAAUGAGAUUUGAGAUUUUGUUGUCAGCUACCCUUAAUUACCCUAAAACAGCAAUGCUUCUCUCCCCCUCUCUCUCUUUCUCUCUUCUUAAUCAGUCUUUCUGGAGGUUUAUAUACUUCAGAAGUCUUUAGAAAAGAAAAAUUAGCCUUUGGAUUAGUAGAGCACAGUUGAUAAAAGCACAGAAUAUUAGUCAGUGUCUGGUCCUUAUUAGCUUUGUGAUCUCGGGAAAGAUAUGCAGUCUCUCUGUGCACUGUUUUACUCAUCUGUAAAAUGAGAAUGAAUAAUUUUGCUUGUGUCUAAGGGUUGUUGUGAAGAUUGAGUGGGUCAGUAUAUGUAAAGCACUUAGAACAAUGUACAGUAUGUGCUGUGAACAUGUUAUCUCUAUUUUCUCUAUUUUAUUAAUAUCUUUCUUAAUCUUCAUUACAUCUUCUUACUUCUUUGGAUUUAUUCUUGUUUCUUAUCGAUUUUUCCCUAGCAAUUUUGGGAGUAUUUAGCUCACUUACUUAUAACCAUUCUUGUCAUCUGGUAAAUGAUUUUUAGGAUAUAUUAUGCUCCUCACAGUGCUUCCUUCUCUGGUUCCCAGACAUUUUGACAUGGGGUGCUUUUAUGCUCACUCAGCUGUAAUUUAGUACUUUUAUUUAUGAAUUUCUCUUUAACUCAAGUGCCACAUAGUUGUAUGGGGGGAGGCCACAGAUACUUGGGGUUUCUAUAAGACUUUACAUUUGGUCUUGAUUCUUAAUUUUAUUGAAUAAUAGUUGGAAAACUCUUCAAGAUAUCACUUCUUUGCAAUUUAUUGAGGCUUUUUGUGUGUGUGAAUCAGUAUUCGAUUGACUUCUGUGAAUGUUUCAUGCAUGCUUAGAAAAUAAAAAGUGUCUGCUCACUGUGUAUAAAGUUCACAAUAUAUCUUUUCAUUUAGUUAUUAUUUAUAAUAUAUACAAAUUUUUAAUUUGCUUCCUUAAGCUGUUGGUUUCUGGAACAUAAACUUUGAAGAUUUCUCCAGCUAUAGCCACUGAUUUAGUUAGUUAUCUUCAUGGUUCAUCAAUUGCUGUUAGAGAUUGUGUAUAUAUAUUUGUAUGUGGUAACAUAUUCAUUAUUAUCAAUCAAUUUGAUGUUUUGUUCCUAACAUAUAAGAUAAAAUUUUAUCUAUACUCAUUUUUUUGCUUUCAAUUCUAUUCAGUCAGAAAUUAAUGUGGCUAUAGCAUACUUCUUUCAGCCAUAUUUGCCUCAUGUGUUAUUUUUCACUCUUUUAUUUUUUCAUCUUGAGUGUGUUCAUUGUACAUAGAUGAUUAUGAAUUGGGGGAUAAAGGACACAUGCAUACUUGUUAAAAUAUGGGAUUGAUAAAUUGAUAAAUUUCAUAUUUAUUUAAUGAGAUAUCGAAACUUAAUUGAAUGAAGGUGGUGAAAACAACCAAGAACAGAAGGAUAUCUUUGCACAUCUGCUUAAUUGCUUUGUUUCAGUGUGAUGCACUGCUGCAGUGGACACUUUCCAUGAAGCUUGUGUCCUGCUAGAGUUGAGUAAAAUGGGGAUAUGGUUACUUCUAGGUGUACUGGUGAAGUGGGAAC
rnacentral:lncRNA from 9 species